CCUACGAGAGGCAGCAGUGGGGAAUAUUGCACAAUGGGGGAAACCCUGAUGCAGCGACGCCGCGUGAGUGAAGAAGUAAUUCGUUACGUUAAGCUCUAUCAGCCGGGAAGAAAAUGCCGGUACCUGUGUAAGAAGCCCCGGCUAACUACGUGCCAGCAGCCGCGGUCAUACGGAGGGGGCCAGCGUUAUCCGGAUUUACUGGGUGUAAAGGGAGCGUAGACGGUGCGCCAAGUCUGGAGUGAAAUGCCGCAGCUUAACUGCGGAACUGCUUUGGAAACUGGCGAACUAGAGUGCGGGAGGGGUAAGCGGAAUUCCUAGUGUAGCGGUGAAAUGCGUAGAUAUUAGGAGGAACACCGGUGGCGAAGGCGGCUUACUGGACCGUAACUGACGUUGAGGCACGAAAGCGUGGGGAGCGAACAGGAUUAGAUACCCUUGUAGUC
rnacentral:rRNA from 1 species